rnacentral:rRNA from 1 species
AUGCAAGUCGAGCGAAGCUUUUCAGUAGUUUACUACAGAAAAUGACUGAGCGGCGAACGGGUGAGUAACGCGUGAGCAAUCUACCUUAGUUACAGGGAUAGCCCGAGGAAACUCGGAUUAAUACCUGAUAUUCUUUAAAUUUCGCAUGAAAUUAUAAGGAAAGGUCAGCCGAACUAAGAUGAGCUCGCGUUCUAUCAGCUAGUUGGUGAGGUAAAAGCUCACCAAGGCAACGACGGAUAGCUGGUCUGAGAGGACGAUCAGCCACACUGGGACUGAGACACGGCCCAGACUCCUACGGGAGGCUGCAGCAGGGAAUAUUGCGCAAUGAGCGAAAGCUUGACGCAGCGACACCGCGUGUGGGAUGACGGAUCUAGGUUUGUAAACCACUUUCAGGAGGGAAGAAAAUGACGGUACCUCCACAAGAAGCCCCGGCCAACUACGUGCCAGCAGCCGCGGUAAUACGUAGGGGGCGAGCGUUGUCCGGAUUUAUUGGGCGUAAAGAGCUCGUAGGCGGUUCAACAAGUCGGUCGUAAAAGUUCAGGGCUCAACCCUGAAAUGUCGAUCGAUACUGUUGUGACUAGGAUACGGUAGAGGUGAGUGGAAUUCCGAAGUGGUAGCGGUGAAAUGCGUAGAUAUUCGGAGGAACACCAUUUGCGAGGGCAGCCUCACUGGGCCCGCUAUCGACGCUGAGGAGCGAAAGCUAGGGGAGCAAACAGGAUUAGAAUACCCUGGUAGUCCUAGCUGUAAACGAUGGAUACUAGACGUAAGGAACUGGAUUGACGGUUUCCUGUGUCGUAGCCUACGCGUUAAGUAUCCCGCCUGGGG